rnacentral:tmRNA from 1 species
GGUAAGCAUGCCGAAGGCUCGGCUUCGUAAAAACGGAAAUCUUAAAUUUAAAUGCAGACAAUCAUCGUCUCGCUUACGCUGCUUAAUUAGCGUAUGUCUUCCGUGCGGUCCCUGUCGCCGCGCGGCGGGCAUCAUUUCAGACAGGGAACGGCGCGUAAAAGUCGGCUGCGGUCUGCGCGCUGUAUUCAGCGGCCCACGUCCCGCCGGGUUUGUUCGCCGAAACGGCGGGAAAGGGAUGAAAGACGGACUAAGCAUGUAGAAAGCCCGCUCAAAGCCGUCAAGACUCGGGUGCAAGUCCCGACUGGUCCACCA